rnacentral:rRNA from 2 species
UUCCGGUUGAUCCCGCCGGACCUGACUGCUAUCGGAUUGAUACUAAGCCAUGCGAGUCAUUGUAGCAAUACAAGGCAUACGGCUCAGUAACGCGUAGUCAACCUACCCUAUGGACGGAAAUAACCUCGGGAAACUGAGAAUAAUAUCCGAUAGAACAUUAUGCCUGGAAUGGUUUAUGUUCCAAAUGAUUUAUCGCCGUAGGAUGGGACUGCGGCCUAUCAGUUUGUUGGUGAGGUAAUGGCCCACCAAGACUAUUACAGGUACGGGCUCUGAGAGGAGUAGCCCGGAGAUGGGUACUGAGACACGGACCCAGGCCCUAUGGGGCGCAGCAGGCGAGAAAACUUUGCAAUGUGCGAAAGCACGACAAGGUUAAUCCGAGUGAUUUCUGCUAAAGAAAUCUUUUGUUAGUCCUAGAAACACUAACGAAUAAGGGGUGGGCAAGUUCUGGUGUCAGCCGCCGCGGUAAAACCAGCACCUCAAGUGGUCAGGAUGAUUAUUGGGCCUAAAGCAUCCGUAGCCGGCUCUGUAAGUCCUCGGUUAAAUCUGUACGCUUAACGUACAGGCUGCCGGGAAUACUGCAUAGCUAGGGAGUGGGAGAGGUAGACGGUACUCGGUAGGAAGGGGUAAAAUCCUUUGAUCUAUUGAUGACCACCUGUGGCGAAGGCGGUCUACCAGAACACGUCCGACGGUGAGGGAUGAAAGCUGGGGGAGCAAACCGGAUUAGAUACCCGGGUAGUCCCAGCUGUAAACUAUGCAAACUCAGUGAUGCAUUGGCUUGUGGCCAAUGCAGUGCUGCAGGGAAGCCGUUAAGUUUGCCGCCUGGGGAAGUACGUACGCAAGUAUGAAACUUAAAGGAAUUGGCGGGGGAGCACCACAAGGGGUGAAGCCUGCGGUUCAAUUGGAGUCAACGCCGG